AAUACGUUCCCGGACCUUGCACACACCGCCCGUCAAGCCAUGGAAGCUGGGUGUGCCUAAAGUCGGUAACCGUAAGGAGCCGCCUAGGGUAAAACUAGUGACUGGGGCU
rnacentral:rRNA from 1 species